UACGUAGGGAGCAAGCGUUGUCCGGAAUCAUUGGGCGUAAAGCGCGCGUAGGCGGCCCGAUAAGUCCGCUGUGAAAGUCAACGGCUCAACUGUUGGAUGCCGGUGGAUACUGUCGGGCUAGAGUACGGAAGAGGCAAGUGGAAUUCCUGGUGUAGCGGUGGAAUGCGCAGAUAUCGGGAGGAACACCUAUGGCGAAGGCAGCUCGCUGGGACGUUACUGACGCUGAGACGCGAAAGCGUGGGGAGCAAACAGG
rnacentral:rRNA from 1 species